rnacentral:rRNA from 1 species
AAGUCGUAACAAGGUUUCCGUAGGUGAACCUGCGGAAGGAUCAUUAAUGAACCUUUGAGGGUUGAGCUGGCGAUUAACUUCGCAUGUGCUUGCCCUCUCAAUCUUUAUACACCUGUGCAUCUCUGAGGGGACAGUAGGCAUCGCCCUUCGGUAAUGUCGAGAUCCCCUUUAACAUACACUUUAUUUAUUUAUGAAUGUUCAAACACUUAGCAGCAUUUAAAUACAACUUUUAACAACGGAUCUCUUGGCUCUCGCAUCGAUGAAGAACGCAGCGAAAUGCGAUAAGUAAUGUGAAUUGCAGAAUUCAGUGAAUCAUCGAAUCUUUGAACGCACCUUGCGCUCCCUGGUAUUCCGGGGAGCACGCCUGUUCGAGCGUCAUGAAGCUCUCAAACGCUAUCUUUUCUUAACUGAGGAGGUAGUCGUUUGGAUUUGGACUCUGCCGUGUAACAAACGGCUGGUCCGAAAGGUAUUAGCUGAUCCUAGUGAAACUUGGUUCUACUCGGCGUGAUAAUUAUCUAACGUCGAGGACAUCGUAAGGUGGCCAAGUCGAACUUAACGGAUUGCUUCUAAUCGUCUUCAUCGACAACACAUCAUCAAUCUGACCUCGAAUCAGGUGGGACUACCCGCUGAACUUAAGCAUAUCAAUAAGCGGAGGAAAAGAAACUAACAAGGAUUCCCCUAGUAACGGCGAGUGAAGCGGGAUGAGCUCAAAUUUAAAAUCUGGCGUCCUUUGGGCGUCCGAGUUGUAGUCUAGAGAAGCAUUUUCCGUGUCGGACCAUGUACAAGUCUCCUGGAACGGAGCGUCAUAGAGGGUGAGAAUCCCGUUCUUGACAUGGACCCCCGAUGCUAUGUGAUGUGCUCUCAACGAGUCGAGUUGUUUGGGAUUGCAGCUCAAAAUGGGAGGUAAAUUCCUUCUAAAGCUAAAUAUUGGCGAGAGACCGAUAGCGAACAAGUACCGUGAGGGAAAGAUGAAAAGCACUUUGGAAAGAGAGUUAAACAGUACGUGAAAUUGUUAAAAGGGAAACGAUUGAAGUCAGUCGCGUCUGCUUGGACUCAGCCUUACCUCGGUUUGGUGCAUUUCCUAGUAGACGGGCCAGCGUCGAUGUCGAUCGCUGGAAAAAGGUGUAGGGAAUGUGGCUCCCUCGGGAGUGUUAUAGCCCUAUGUCAUAUGCAGUGGUUGGUAUCGAGUGUAACAGCACGCUUCUGCGGUGCUUGUGCUGGCGUAAUGGCUUUAAACGACC